rnacentral:rRNA from 1 species
GUUUUUUUUCCCCUGCCCCUUUAUAGAGUUUGGGAACAGCUCAGGAUGAACGCUGGCGGCGUGCCUAAUACAUGCAAGUCGAGCGAAUGGAUUAAGAGCUUGCUCUUAUGAAGUUAGCGGCGGACGGGUGAGUAACACGUGGGUAACCUGCCCAUAAGACUGGGAUAACUCCGGGAAACCGGGGCUAAUACCGGAUAACAUUUUGAACUGCAUGGUUCGAAAUUGAAAGGCGGCUUCGGCUGUCACUUAUGGAUGGACCCGCGUCGCAUUAGCUAGUUGGUGAGGUAACGGCUCACCAAGGCAACGAUGCGUAGCCGACCUGAGAGGGUGAUCGGCCACACUGGGACUGAGACACGGCCCAGACUCCUACGGGAGGCAGCAGUAGGGAAUCUUCCGCAAUGGACGAAAGUCUGACGGAGCAACGCCGCGUGAGUGAUGAAGGCUUUCGGGUCGUAAAACUCUGUUGUUAGGGAAGAACAAGUGCUAGUUGAAUAAGCUGGCACCUUGACGGUACCUAACCAGAAAGCCACGGCUAACUACGUGCCAGCAGCCGCGGUAAUACGUAGGYGGCWASCGUUUAUCCGGMAYUAUUGASGCGUAAAGCGCGCGCASGUCGCGUUUCUUAAGUGCUGAUGUGAWAKCCCACGGCUCAMCCGUAGGAGGGUCAUUGRAAACUGGGAKACUUGAGUGCAGAAGAGGAAAGWGGAAUUCCAUGUGUAGCGGUGAAAUGCGUAGAGAUAUGGAGGAACACCAGUGGCGAAGGCGACUUUCUGGUCUGUAACUGACACUGAKGCGCGAAAGACGUGGGGASCAAACAGGAUUAGAUACCCUGGUAGUCCACGCCGUAAACGAUGAGUGCUAAGUGUUAGAGGGUUUCCGCCCUUUAGUGCUGAAGUUAACGCAUUAAGCACUCCGCCUGGGGAGUACGGCCGCAAGGCUGAAACUCAAAGGAAUUGACGGGGGCCCGCACAAGCGGUGGAGCAUGUGGUUUAAUUCGAAGCAACGCGAAGAACCUUACCAGGUCUUGACAUCCUCUGACAACCCUAGAGAUAGGGCUUCUCCUUCGGGAGCAGAGUGACAGGUGGUGCAUGGUUGUCGUCAGCUCGUGUCGUGAGAUGUUGGGUUAAGUCCCGCAACGAGCGCAACCCUUGAUCUUAGUUGCCAUCAUUUAGUUGGGCACUCUAAGGUGACUGCCGGUGACAAACCGGAGGAAGGUGGGGAUGACGUCAAAUCAUCAUGCCCCUUAUGACCUGGGCUACACACGUGCUACAAUGGACGGUACAAAGAGCUGCAAGACCGCGAGGUGGAGCUAAUCUCAUAAAACCGUUCUCAGUUCGGAUUGUAGGCUGCAACUCGCCUACAUGAAGCUGGAAUCGCUAGUAAUCGCGGAUCAGCAUGCGCGGGGGAAAAACCUUUCCCGGGCCUUGUACACACCGCCCGUCACACCACGAGAGUUUGUACACCCGAAGUCGGUGGGGUAACCUUUUUGGAGCAGCCGCCUAAGGGGGACAAUGAUUGGGUGAGCUACAAAAAAAACCCCACACAAAAAGGGGGAGGAAACCC